CCAAUGUGACGUUACCAAACUGUUGCCUCGGCGGGAUCUCUGCCCCGGGUGCGUCGCAGCCCCGGACCAAGGCGCCCGCCGGAGGACCAACCAAAACUCUUUUUGUAUACCCCCUCGCGGGUUUUUUUAUAAUCUGAGCCUUCUCGGCGCCUCUCGUAGGCGUUUCGAAAAUGAAUCAAAACUUUCAACAACGGAUCUCUUGGUUCUGGCAUCGAUGAAGAACGCAGCGAAAUGCGAUAAGUAAUGUGAAUUGCAGAAUUCAGUGAAUCAUCGAAUCUUUGAACGCACAUUGCGCCCGCCAGUAUUCUGGCGGGCAUGCCUGUCCGAGCGUCAUUUCAACCCUCGAACCCCUCCGGGGGGUCGGCGUUGGGGAUCGGCCCUGCCUCUGGCGGUGGCCGUCUCCGAAAUACAGUGGCGGUCUCGCCGCAGCCUCUCCUGCGCAGUAGUUUGCACACUCGCAUCGGGAGCGCGGCGCGUCCACAGCCGUUAAACACCCAACUUCUGAAAUGUGAC
rnacentral:rRNA from 1 species